CUCCGAAGAAAACUGUUAAGACAUCGGAUUUCACAUUCUCUUCAUUUAGUGGUGGCUUGAUAUCCUGCCACAUGAGGAUAUCAGUGGGAAGAUCACACCUGCCCUUUUAAAGGGCAUAGAAAGUCAUGAUUGGAAGAUUUGUUUGGAAUCUAUUGAAGCUGUCAACAAAAUCUUGGAAGAGGCCAGUAAGUGCAUUUAGCCAACCGGAACUGUGGAUUUAUUCAGAUCACUUAGAAGACGCCUAUUCGACAUCAAUAAAAAAUUAGUUAUGGCAAGUUUGGCUGCUGUAGGUGCUGCCGCAUCUGCAAUGGUUAAGUCAAGCAAGGGCAUUCUAUCAGGCGAUUUGAAAUGCCUGGGUGACAAUAAAAAGAAAUUUGACAGAAUCUUCUUUGACUACUUUAGAUUCUUGGCUUGCUGCUGUACAUCUUGACAAAACGGUUAUCUUUUAGAUGGUGAGUGAGAGAUGUUCGAAAAAGAAGUGAGAUGAGAUGUACAAAAAAAAAAAAAAAAAAAGAAAGAAAGAAAGAAAAAAAAAAAGGAUGUCAGAUUUGUAUGAGAAAAAAAGAGAGAAGUAGGGAAAGAAAAUGUGAGAAGAAAGAAAAUAGACUAUAUGAAAAGGAAAAAAAAAAAAGAGAGGGAGAAGUUGCGAUAAAAGAGGGAGAAUGAGUUGCAUGUGAAAAAAAAAAAAAAAGAUUUAAAAGGAAAAAAAAAGAAGAGGGAGAUUGGGUUAGAUGUGAAAAAAAAGAGUAAAAAAUGAGGCACUGAAGGCAUAUAAUAUUAUUCGUUGUGCUGUGGUGAAAAUCUACCCACUGUUCGACGAUCUUGUCAUAAUCCUAUCAGGUUGUUGUUUCGAGUUUUAGGAAAGCAGAACAUGGUUGGGUGCUUCAAUGCGAUAUGGAACUUUCUUUUUGGGUGGUAAAUAAUAUUAAUUCAAGUGGUUUUCCUUUCUAUACUUGCCCAUAUUUUUUUGCUUAGCGAAUAUACGUAGUAUUUUCUCUCUUAUAAUUAAUUUUAGUUUUGACAGUUCUGUGGUUUGCUUGAACAUGGCAGGGAAGAUUGUGAAAAUGAAUUUAAGGUAGCUUAGCAUUUUGUCGAUUGGGAACGAUUUUUGUUUUUGGGUUUUGUGAUAUGAGAGUGCAAAUAUAAGAGAUGGGGCUUGACAAUGAAUACAGUACCAUUAGGGGUGAUGUGGUCGUGGAUCGUGGGUUGUUUGAUUUCAUGGGAAAGGAGGAGGAGGAGAAGCCUCAAGAGGCGUGAAAAUGCUUGUUCCCUAGUAUGAUAAUUUAUGCAUACUUAUCAUGUAUAUUUGUUUAAUUUAUUUAUGAAUUUGUGUCUAGAAAUACAUGCCAUAAACUUUGAAUUGUUCAAUCAAGAGUCAAUUAAAAAGAUAAAAGUUUGGAAACACAAUUUUGAAAUUGAUUCUUAUUAAACAUAGAAGUUUGAAUAAUUUCUAGUAAAAGUUUCGGUUUAUUUAUUUCUUUAUAGUAAGAAACUUGUGAAAUUAUUCACACACACACUAACUCACAUUUAUAUGAUCUUUCUUCAAAGUUGUGAACUUAGACUCAAAUAAUGAGUAACAUCUUAAGGUGAUAUAAGAUGAUGGCAUUUGAAAAAAAAUAUGUGAGGUGCAACGCAAAAAGAAAAAAAAGAGAGCGUGUUUUUGCAGUUGAAAAGAAACGAAAAAUCUCCAAUGAGAUGGCUGCAAAAAGUUUCUUAUGAAAAAGGCUACCUAGUGAGAUCAGACCGAAAGCUUCCUUGACUCGAAAAAAAUGGGAAUAAGGGAAAAUAGCUGGCUACUCAUUAGAGUGAAAGCCGUCAUAGAAACACAAGAAAAAAACAAGAGAGGUUUCAAAAAGGAAAAGAAAAGAGAGAAAAUUCUCCAAUGAGAUGGCGGCAAAAAGUUUCUUAUGAAAAAGGCUACCUAGUGAGAUCAGACCGAAAGCUUCCUUGACUCGAAAAAAAUGGGAAUAAGGGAAAAUAGCUGGCUACCCAUUAGAGUGAAAGCCGUCAUAGAAACACAAAAGAAAAACAAGAGAGGUUUCAAAAAGAAAAAGAAAAUAGUGAAAAUUCACAUGCUUUUUAAAUCUUUGAAUCUUGUGUGAAAUUUAUUUUUGUUUUUGAACACAAAUUUGAAACUGAUUAUAUUUGUGUUGAGUUUAUUUCUAAUGCACAUAUAAUGGACUAAGUUGACUACUAUUGAUUUAUAAAUGGGCUAGAAAUCUUUGAACCUAAUUAUGAGAAUUUUUAUGUUUAUAAAGAUAAUAGAAUAAAAAUUUGUGGCUCCAAAUAAUGUUCAAUUUGAUUGAUGAUUUAUUGACACUUCAAAAACCUUGGCAUGUUUAGAUUUAUAUAUUUAUAUGUGUCUUUGCAUAUCAUCACAAAACUGAAAAAUGACAAAAAUAUAUUUCUUUAUAAUUUUGUUUAUUUGUGUCUUUAUUUAUUUAUUUGAUCAUAUGAGAGAUCAUGUAGGGCGUAUGAGGACUUAAAAUUGCAAAAGAAGCAAUUUAGGGCAUUUUUAGGUACGUCGCUCGAAGCUAUAGCAAGGCUCCAUCGAUUGACCCUUGAAAUCAAAUCAAUCGAUGCAAGUGUCACUCAGUUCCAGUGAGUUUGCAACUCGUCUCUGUCUCAUUUGGUCUACCAGCAUCAGCUGGACCGAGUGGUCCUGAAACUGCAUUAAGAGAACCCCGUGGCCACCUAUCAAAACUGUCAGAACAGCGUCUAGAAGUUCCACUGCGCCUCUUUGCCUAUCUCUACAAACCAGAGGUUCCGGUUCUGAUUGCAGGAGCCAUAUCUGCAAUUAUUAAUGAAGAAGGGAGUUGUGCUUAGAAGGAAAGCAUAAUAUUUGGAACUAGUCAAGGAUCCUGAUGGAGCAUACUCUCAGCUCAUAUGAUUUCUAGAAGUGAGCAAGACAAGUCAUAAAUUACUAUGGAAUCUGGUAGACAGUCGAGUCAAAAAAUUUCAUUCCUGCGUUCCACAAGUUGGGAAUCAUCUGGAGGAGGAAACAACAAUCAGCUCCCACUCUGUCUCACAAGGGAGAGUUUGGCUUGGCUGGGUGCUUUUAUAUGUUUUAGAAGUUUUGUUUAGGAAGGUCUUUACGGCAGGCAUCUCCGAUUUUCCUUGCAUGAGUGCAUUUGCUGCAAGUCAAGCUGCUGCAUUACAGAUGUUUGAGACUAUAAAUAAGACUAUAGAGAUAGAUGCAUAUGACAUGAAGGGAAAAGUGUUGGAUGACAUUAGUCUACUCUAAGCGGAGCUUUUUGAGAGGUUGAUGAUGUUAUCAACCAGAUCCAGACAGAGAACUUCACAAAUAUCUAAACCAGGCAACCGAACUCCCUGCUUCUACUUACGCUGCAACUGGAACAUUUGAGGAAGACAAAUAAGGCAAGACUCCUGGAAAUGAAGAAGAACCUUCGACCUGAGACAAUCCAAAGGAGAAAUAUGGAGCAGAGUGCCUGGAGAUAUAGAGUUAAGUGAUGUCCAUUUUUGUUAUUCAGCCCGACCAGAUGAUAGUGCAUUCUCUCUUUCCAUCCCUAGUUGCACAACUGUAGCUUUGGUUGGACAGAGUGGAAGAGCUUAAUGGAUUAGGGAGAGAAUUGGUCUCGUCAGCCAAGAACCCGUGUUGUUUGCAUCCAGCAUUGAGGAUAAUUUUGUGUAUGGGAAGGAUGGGACAACAAUUGAGGAUAUUAGAGCUGCAGCUGAGCUAGUAAA